UUUAAGCAUAUUAAAACGCAAA
rnacentral:rRNA from 1 species